CACAUCCACUUCUUGAUUCCACGCCACAAGCAAGACAUAAACUGUUACAGACGCUGUAUGCAUUUUAAAUAACUACAGUGAGAAUUUUGAACUGUUCACUUUAUAUCAUAGAAGACUAGACCAUUCUUGGAUGUGAAAAUUUAUGAACUUUUUAAUUAAAUCAUCAUCGAAAUAAGAAUAGUUUAUGUUCAAUCAUAUACCUAGCAAACAUUUUUUUAACCAAGAUGGGUGGAUAUAAAAUUACCGGGGUAUAUACCAGUAAAAAAUUACUAUUUUCAGACCCAUUCUCCCUUUGUGUCAACUCUAUAACUUGGUAAUAAAGAUACAUGGGUAGCCAUUUUUUAUUAAAGGUUUAGACUUUUGUGACAGAGGAAAAACAAUCUUUUAUACUUCCAUGAAGCAGAAUAUUUAUUUCAAACAUCUAAAUGUGAAUUUAAUUUAGGGAAAACAUUAUUGCACAACACAGAUACUGCAUCUGUACAUAUACAAGCAUCUUCGUAUCAGGAUGUUAAAAAAACUUCCUGUACUUCAAUAAAUACAAAUAAUUGGAACAAUAAAGCUUCAAUGUAACAAAUGACUACCAAAAACAAAUAUUUUAUUUGUCUAUACAAUUACAGUAAGCUAAAAAAGCACCCACAAAUGUAUUUGUAAAAUAUUUUUUGUAGAAAUUGGAAAACAAAUAAGUGUUGUUUGUUACUACAAAAUCAGUAUAAAAUGAAAUAUAUUGAACGAAAAAAUGUAUAAAUAAAAAUAUGAAAAAC
rnacentral:misc_RNA from 1 species